GUUUAGGUAGCUUAAUUGAAAGUUUAACAUUGAAGCUGUUAAGAUGGGUUUUCCCCUUAAACGGUA
rnacentral:tRNA from 1 species